rnacentral:rRNA from 1 species
AACGCGAAGAACCUUACCAGGGCUUGACAUCCCUCUGAAACCUCUAGAGAUAGAGGCUCCCUUCGGGGCAGAGGUGACAGGUGGUGCAUGGUUGUCGUCAGCUCGUGUCGUGAGAUGUUGGGUUAAGUCCCGCAACGAGCGCAACCCUUGUCCUUAGUUGCCAGCAUUUAGUUGGGCACUCUAAGGAGACUGCCGUCGACAAGACGGAGGAAGGUGGGGAUGACGUCAAAUCAUCAUGCCCCUUAUGUCCUGGGCUACACACGUGCUACAAUGGAUGGUACAACGGGCUGCAAACUCGCGAGAGUAAGCCAAUCCCUAAAAACCAUUCUCAGUUCGGAUUGCAGGCUGCAACUCGCCUGCAUGAAGUCGGAAUCGCUAGUAAUCGCGGAUCAGCAUGCCGCGGUGAAUACGUUCCCGGGCCUUGUACACACCGCGUGUCU